AAGGGCUGCAGUCCAAGGUUUAGCUAAUCCCAUAAAUUUGUUCUCAGUUCGGAUCGCAGUCUGCAACUCGACUGCGUGAAGCUGGAAUCGCUAGUAAUCGCGGAUCAGCAUGCCGCGGUGAAUACGUUCCCGGGCCUUGUACACACCGCCCGUCACACCACGAGAGUUUGCAACACCCGAAGUCGGUGAGGUAACCUUUAUGGAGCCAGCCGCCGAAGGUGGGCAGAUGAUUGGGGGU
rnacentral:rRNA from 1 species